CCUACGGGAGGCAGCAGUGAGGAAUAUUGGUCAAUGGUCGGGAGCCUGAACCAGCCAAGCCGCGUGAGGGAGGAAGGUACUGCGUAUCGUAAACCUCUUUUGUCAGGGAAUAAAGACUGGGACGCGUCCCCGGAUGAGUGUACCUGAAGAAAAAGCAUAGGCUAACUCCGUGCCAGCAGCCGCGGUAAUACGGAGGAUGGGAGCCUUAUCCGGAUUUAUUGGGUUUAAAGGGUGCGUGGGCGGUCUGUUAAGUCAGUGGUCAAAGCCCGGGGCUCAACGCCGGCCCGCCGUUGAAACUGGCAGUCUCGAGUUGGAGCGAAGUAUGCGGAAGGCGCGGUGUAGCGGUGAAAUGCAUAGAUAUCGCGCAGAACUCCGAUUGCGAAGGCAGCAUGCCGGCUCCACACUGACGCUGAGGCACGAAAGCGUGGGUAUCGAACAGGAUUAGAUACCCUAGUAGUC
rnacentral:rRNA from 1 species